GUGGGGAAUAUUGGACAAUGGGGGCAACCCUGAUCCAGCCAUGCCGCGUGAAUGAUGAAGGCCUUCGGGUUGUAAAGUUCUUUUGGAGGGGACGAUGAUGACGGUACCCUCAGAAUAAGCUCCGGCUAACUUCGUGCCAGCAGCCGCGGUAAUACGAAGGGAGCUAGCGUUGUUCGGAAUUACUGGGCGUAAAGGGCGCGUAGGCGGUUUGGUUAGUCAGAUGUGAAAGCCCAGGGCUUAACCCUGGAACUGCGUUUGAUACUGCCAAGCUUGAAUUCGGGAGAGGUGAGUGGAAUUCCCAGUGUAGAGGUGAAAUUCGUAGAUAUUGGGAAGAACACCGGUGGCGAAGGCGGCUCACUGGACCGACAUUGACGCUGAGGCGCGAAAGCGUGGGGAGCAAACAGGAUUAGAUACCCCGGUAGUCC
rnacentral:rRNA from 1 species